UUUAAAAUCAGAUACAAUAAUACAUCUGACAUAGUGCUGUAUCAUAUAUAGAUUUCCUUUGCACAGAUCAUUUGAUUUCAUCAAAUUCCUGCAGUUUUUCUUUGGUUUGAGGAAAAGAUGCACCUGUAUCCCUAGGAACACUGUGACAGUAAAAUGGAUAGUUCAUUUGUAGAACCUGCAGGUGCUGGUGGAAAUAACACAGGCGGAAGAGAUCACCACUGCUUAUCUCCCUUCACCUCCAACUUGAAACUCAAGAUGGUUCUACAGGGAGACAAACUAUUUUCACCUCUAUAAUGUUGAGCCCCUGUGUAAAAAUGUUGAACAUCCUGUAUGCAAUGUAAUGAAAAUCCAUAUGAUAGAAAGGAAGCAAAAGGAACACAGUUGCAGUUUCAUCCCACCAGUUCUGCUUAAGGUGUCAACUUAAGAGAUGAAAGUGUGGCUAACAGCUUUAACUGCUCAUUUCAAAUCAUCCACAUAUAAAUCAAAAUAUCUCAGAAUCACCCAAUUCCAUCAGUAAUAAAGCUUUGUGACUUCUGAAAGAAAUGAACUCUAAGGCCACAAGAAUAAGUAAACUCCAAGUGUCUUCCAAGCCAACAGAUUUCAUAUCUCUUGAUAAACGGUUACACUUUCUAUGUUUCCAUUAUGGCUUUGCAUGCAUUUCCUUGUAUGAAUAGAUUUGAAUUCCUCCAAACAUCAUUUCAAUUAGUAUAUCCUGCAAGUCAAAAAGAAGAGAAAUAAAGCCAGCAAAUUUUGGAAUCUAGGAUUCCUGCAGGCACAAAAUACCUGCUACCUUAAAUGUGAAGAAACAAAACAUAAUUGUUCAGUGAAUUUCAAAAUGACUUGCAUUGGCAAGUGGGCCAAGGCAGAUCUUGUAUACAUCUGUAAAGACAAAAAUGAAUAAAAUUGUCCAGUCCAAAAUAUGCACUGAAAUAUGCUCUGGUGCAAAUUACCAUCUUUAAUACAUGUGCAGUAUUUGCCAUUUACCUACACUGUUAUAAGAAAUUUAACUCUCCUGACAGUCUUGUGAAGAUGAAGAAACAGCAGUACAGAUUAUGGCUUUUUUUUUUACAUGGCAAGUAAGAGCAUGGGCAACAUAAAGCAAGGAAGUUGUCCUGACACUUCUCACAGGCAGACAUUCUUGCCUUUGCCUGUGUUCUCUGCAUGAGCAAAGGUGAUCUGGUAUUUAUGAGUUCAGACCUUCUACUUAAUAGAAAAUGAAGGCAGUCUGCAUUUCUAAAACAUUUCACAGACUAAAUUCAAGUCACUUGCAACUGCUGCUGCUUGUAAUGUAAUGAGACAUUGCAGGUCUGUCACCUGUACAAACAAUAUUGAGAAAAUGGUCCAAGCAGAAGAGAAGCAUGUCAGGUGCUGCAUGAUAACAAAAGACAUUUCAGCUUUAACUUUACAACCAAAAUGCAACAGGACUUCCAGGCUAACUCACUUUGGAUAGAUUGUCUCUUUUCCAUUCACAGGCUGCAAGGUUCUGAGAAGGGUUUGUGGAGGUUUGCAGACCUGCGGCCAAAUGAACUUCUUGGCCCAUGCUCGAUCACAGAAUGGUUUGGGUUGGAGGGGUCUUUAAAGAUCAUCUCGUCCAAUCCCCCUGCAAUGGGCAGGGACACCUUCCACUAGAUCAUGUUGUUCAAAGAUGAGCUGCAGCUUUUUUCAUGCAAAUGAGUUCUUGGUCUAUACCUGCCAGAGAUUACUGGUUGUGCCUUAGACACCCAGAGACAAGAUACCCAGCCACCAUCUGCAGUGCAGAGCAGAACAGAGGUAUUAUGGACUCUUCAUUGGCUUAAUAAUCAGGAUUGGAUUUAACAACCUUUUAACAGUGGCACAAGUCAUUUCAAAGA